rnacentral:rRNA from 1 species
GGACACUGCAUGUGCUGCAUAGUUUUGUCUACCUAACUAAGGAGGCAACAAAAUUUUUGUUAGUUCACUACAGUGCUCUUAAUAUUGACUAGUUGUGGACAAACGCAAGCUCCUGAUCUGCCCUUAAUUGGGUGUAUCAGCUGUAAGUUUGCGGACGUACCUUGAACAAAUCGGCUUGUUCAAAGUAGGCCUAGUGCCUGGACAUUCUAGCAUGGAAUGUUCGAUCGAGACCUGAUCGUUUGGUCGGAAACGAGUAAGGUCCAGGUCAAAAGAGACAUUUGGGGGCAUAAGAACUCGGCCGCGAGAGGUGAAAUUCUAAGACCGGCCGAGGUCUAACAAAAGCGAAAGCAUUUGCCAAGAAUGUUUUCAUUGAUCAAGAACGAAAGUUGGAGGAGCGAAAACGAUCAGAUACCGUUGUAGUUCCAACUUUAAACUAUGCCGGCUGUCGGGGCCAGUUCGGUACAUCCGUACUAAUUGACCUCCCAGGGAAACCUUAGCAGGGUUCUGGGGGGAGUACGGUCGCAAGUCUGAAACUUAAAGGAAUUGACGGAAGGGCACCACCAGGAGUGGAGCCUGCGGCUUAAUUUGACUCAACGCGGGGAAACUUACCCGGUCCGGACAUCGGAAGGAUUGACAGACUGAUCGCUCUUUCAUGAUACGGUGAAAGGUGGUGCAUGGCCGUUCAUAGUUGGUGGAGCGAUUUGUCUGGUUAAUUCCGUUAACGAACGAGACUUCUUCCUUCAUUUAGUAGAUUUAAUUGGGGUUUAGAUCAACUAAUUGAAGGGACUAACGCUAUUUAAAAGCGUAGGAAGUAAUCCGAUAACAGGUCUGUUAUGCCCUUAGAUGUCCGGGGCCGCACGCGGGCUACACUGGUG